GUCCUGCUUGGUGCCGUGUCCUGCUAGGUGUCGUGUCCUGCUAGGUGUCGUGUCCUGCUUGGUGUCGUGUCCUGCUAGGUGUCGUGUCCUGCUAGGUGUCGUGUCCUGCUUGGUGUCGUGUCCUGCUUGGUGUCGUGUCCUGCUAGGUGUCGUGUCCUGCUAGGUGUCGUGUCCUGCUAGGUGUCGUGUCCUGCUAGGUGUCGUGUCCUGCUAGGUGUCGUGUCCUGCUUGUGUCCUGCUAGGUGUCGUGUCCUGCUAGGUGUCGUGUCCUGCUAGGUGUCGUGUCCUGCUAGGCGUCGUGUCCUGCUAGGCGUCGUGUCCUGCUAGGCGUCGUGUCCUGCUAGGCGUCGUGUCCUGCUAGGCGUCGUGUCCUGCUAGGCGUCGUGUCCUGCUAGGCGUCGUGUCCUGCUUGGUGUCGUGUCCUGCUAGGCGUCGUGUCCUGCUAGGCGUCGUGUCCUGCUAGGUGUCGUGUCCUGCUAGGCGUCGUGUCCUGCUAGGCGUCGUGUCCUGCUAGGCGUCGUGUCCUGCUAGGCGUCGUGUCCUGCUAGGCGUC
ensembl:lncRNA